UUAGAAAUGACUGCUAAUACUCCAUACUCCUUUUUACCAUAAGAUAAAUGGGAAAGAAUUUCGGCAAGGGAUGAGACUAUAUCGUAUCAGCUAGUCGGUGGGGUAACGGCCUACCAGGCUAUGACGCGUAACUGGUCUGAGAGGAUGAUCAGUCACAUUGGAACUGAGACACGGUCCAAACUCCUACGGGAGGCAGCAGUAGGGAAUAUUGCGCAAUGGGGGAAACCCUGACGCAGCAACGCCGCGUGGAGGAUGACACUUUUCGGAGCGUAAACUCCUUUUGUUAGGGAAGAAUAAUGACGGUACCUAACGAAUAAGCACCGGCUAA
rnacentral:rRNA from 1 species